rnacentral:rRNA from 1 species
UCGAGAAUCUUCGGCAAUGGACGCAAGUCUGACCGAGCGACGCCGCGUGCGGGAUGACGGCCCUUGGGUUGUAAACCGCUGUCAGAGGGGAUGAAAUGCAGAAGGGUUAUCCCUUUUGUUUGACAGAGCCUCAGAGGAAGCACGGGCUAAGUACGUGCCAGCAGCCGCGGUAACACGUACUGUGCGAACGUUAUUCGGAAUCACUGGGCUUAAAGGGUGCGUAGGCGGUUUAAUAAGUAGGGUGUGAAAUGCCAGGGCUCAACCUUGGCACGGCGCUCUAAACUGUUAAACUUGAGUGAGAUAGGGGUGUACGGAACUUCCGGUGGAGCGGUGAAAUGCGUUGAUAUCGGAAGGAACGCCGGUGGCGAAAGCGGUACACUGGGUCUUAACUGACGCUGAGGCACGAAAGCUAGGGUAGCGAACGGGAUUAGAUACCCCCGUAGUCC